rnacentral:rRNA from 1 species
GAUGAACGAGGGCGGGGGGAGGAAAAAAGGCAAGUCGAACGGUGAAGGCGGAGCUUGCUCUGCUGGAUCAGUGGCGAACGGGUGAGUAACACGUGAGCAAUCUGCCCCUGACUCUGGGAUAAGCGCUGGAAACGGCGUCUAAUACUGGAUACGAGCUGCGAAGGCAUCUUCAGCAGCUGGAAAGAACUUCGGUCAGGGAUGAGCUCGCGGCCUAUCAGCUUGUUGGUGAGGUAACGGCUCACCAAGGCGUCGACGGGUAGCCGGCCUGAGAGGGUGACCGGCCACACUGGGACUGAGACACGGCCCAGACGCCUACGGGAGGCAGCAGUGGGGAAUAUGGCACAAUGAGCGAAAGCCUGAUGCGACAACGCCGCGUGAGGGACGUCGUGCUUCGGGUUGUGAACCUCUUUUAGCAAGGAAGAAGCGAAAGUGACGGUACCUGCAGAAAAAGCGCCGGCUACCUACGUC